UAUUUAAGGCGGCGGAGCUCAGCUCGGCUCCUCCCCCGCAUUCUCGGAAAACACGCGGCCUCUGUUCACUUUCGCUUUCCCAAAGAGUUUGGUGGCACUGAGCCAGCAGUACCACCGGCCCCGGAGAACGCCCCGCGGGCUCCCCGCCCCGCCGCUGGGGAUGCUCUUCGACCUCUCUUCUCAUGUCCGACUACGUCUGGGUUUACUCUUUUCUUGCUUUAUUUUUUCGGACAGCCCCGGCGGAGCAGGCGGUGGCCGCGGGCACGGCCGAGAGGUGCUGCGGGGGAAAUACGAGCACGGAGCGCUCUGAGGCCCCAGGGAGGCGAGGGGACACUAGAGGAGUUUGAAUAAGCCCACCGGGAAGCCAGCUCUGCAGACUGUUUCCAGAGCAGCAAGCAGUACUGUGCAUUAAUCUCCGGAUUUCCCCGUAAGAGCAUCCCUGGGAAAAUCAUCAUGUGCAUUUCCCUGUUUUGUCACGGAACCGGAGGAGCUUCACCAACUCCAAGUAAACACCAAGCACCCUUUCUCGCUAAGCAGGGUGGG